rnacentral:rRNA from 1 species
CCCUUAGAUGUUCUGGGCUGCACACGUGCUACACUGGCAGGUUCAGCGAGCUUCAUGCCCUGAUCUGAAAGGAAUGGGAAAUCUUUUCAAAACCUGCCGUGCUUGGGAUAGAUGUUUGCAAUUAUUCAUCUUCAACGAGGAUUGCCUUGUAAGCGCACGUCAUCAGCGUGCAUUGAAUACGUCCCUGUAUUCUGUACACACCGCCCGUCGCUCCUACCGAUUGAAGUUUUCGGUGAGUUGACAGGAGGAUUUUUUUGAAACUGGUUCGCCAGUGGAUUUUAGAUCCAAAUGCCAACGAAUCGAUGGCUUUAGAGGAAGGAGAAGUCGUAACA